rnacentral:rRNA from 1 species
GGUGAAAAGCACCCCGGAAGGGGAGUGAAAUAGAACCUGAAACCGUGUGCUUACAAGUAGUCAGAGCCCGUUAAUGGGUGAUGGCGUGCCUUUUGUAGAAUGAACCGGCGAGUUACGAUUUGAUGCAAGGUUAAGCAGUAAAUGUGGAGCCGUAGCGAAAGCGAGUCUGAAUAGGGCGUUUAGUAUUUGGUCGUAGACCCGAAACCAGGUGAUCUACCCUUGGUCAGGUUGAAGUUCAGGUAACACUGAAUGGAGGACCGAACCGACUUACGUUGAAAAGUGAGCGGAUGAACUGAGGGUAGCGGAGAAAUUCCAAUCGAACCUGGAGAUAGCUGGUUCUCUCCGAAAUAGCUUUAGGGCUAGCCUCAAGUGAUGAUUAUUGGAGGUAGAGCACUGUUUGGACGAGGGGCCCCUCUCGGGUUACCGAAUUCAGACAAACUCCGAAUGCCAAUUAAUUUAACUUGGGAGUCAGAACAUGGGUGAUAAGGUCCGUGUUCGAAAGGGAAACAGCCCAGACCACCAGCUAAGGUCCCAAAAUAUAUGUUAAGUGGAAAAGGAUGUGGCGUUGCCCAGACAACUAGGAUGUUGGCUUAGAAGCAGCCAUCAUUUAAAGAGUGCGUAAUAGCUCACUAGUCGAGUGACACUGCGCCGAAAAUGUACCGGGGCUAAACAUAUUACCGAAGCUGUGGAUUGUCCUUUGGACAAUGGUAGGAGAGCGUUCUAAGGGCGUUGAAGCAUGAUCGUAAGGACAUGUGGAGCGCUUAGAAGUGAGAAUGCCGGUGUGAGUAGCGAAAGACGGGUGAGAAUCCCGUCCACCGAUUGACUAAGGUUUCCAGAGGAAGGCUCGUCCGCUCUGGGUUAGUCGGGUCCUAAGCUGAGGCCGACAGGCGUAGGCGAUGGAUAACAGGUUGAUAUUCCUGUACCACCUAUAAUCGUUUUAAUCGAUGGGGGGACGCAGUAGGAUAGGCGAAGCGUGCGAUUGGAUUGCACGUCUAAGCAGUAAGGCUGAGUAUUAGGCAAAUCCGGUACUCAUUAAGGCUGAGCUGUGAUGGGGAGAAGACAUUGUGUCUUCGAGUCGUUGAUUUCACACUGCCGAGAAAAGCCUCUAGAUAGAAAAUAGGUGCCCGUACCGCAAACCGACACAGGUAGUCAAGAUGAGAAUUCUAAGGUGAGCGAGCGAACUCUCGUUAAGGAACUCGGCAAAAUGACCCCGUAACUUCGGGAGAAGGGGUGCUCUUUAGGGUUAACGCCCAGAAGAGCCGCAGUGAAUAGGCCCAAGCGACUGUUUAUCAAAAACACAGGUCUCUGCUAAACCGUAAGGUGAUGUAUAGGGGCUGACGCCUGCCCGGUGCUGGAAGGUUAAGAGGAGUGGUUAGCUUCUGCGAAGCUACGAAUCGAAGCCCCAGUAAACGGCGGCCGUAACUAUAACGGUCCUAAGGUAGCGAAAUUCCUUGUCGGGUAAGUUCCGACCCGCACGAAAGGCGUAACGAUUUGGGCACUGUCUCAACGAGAGACUCGGUGAAAUCAUAGUACCUGUGAAGAUGCAGGUUACCCGCGACAGGACGGAAAGACCCCGUGGAGCUUUACUGUAGCCUGAUAUUGAAAUUCGGCACAGCUUGUACAGGAUAGGUAGGAGCCUUUGAAACGUGAGCGCUAGCUUACGUGGAGGCGCUGGUGGGAUACUACCCUAGC